GAUCCUGGCUCAGGACGAACGCUGGCGGCGCGCCUAACACAUGCAAGUCGAACGGGGUUAUACGGGAUGAAGUUUUCGGAUGGAAUUCUAUAUAACCUAGUGGCGGACGGGUGAGUAACACGUGAGCAACCUGCCUAUCAGAGGGGGAUAACGAUUGGAAACGAUCGCUAAUACCGCAUGACAUAGCGAAGAGGCAUCUUUUUGCUAUCAAAGAUUUAUCGCUGAUAGAUGGGCUCGCG
rnacentral:rRNA from 1 species